ensembl:miRNA
AAGAGCCUGGAAGCCAAUCACACUAAGAAGUGGUGCUUAGUUUUGUGUGGUUGUUGUUUUCCUGAGUGCUUUU